rnacentral:rRNA from 1 species
AGAGUUUGAUCCUGGCUCAGGAUGAACGCUAGCGAUAGGCUUAACACAUGCAAGCCGAGGGGCAUCACUUUAAGGUGGCGACCGGCGCACGGGUGAGUAACACGUAUGCAACCUGCCCAUUACUUGUGGGAUAGCCCGGAGAAAUUCGGAUUAAUACCCAAUGACACAGGGAUACCACAUGGUAAUAUUUGUUAAAGAUUUAUUGGUAAUGGAUGGGCAUGCGCAGGAUUAKAUAGUUGGUGAAGGUAACGGCUCACCAAGUCAGCGAUCCUUAGGGGAACUGAGAGGUUUAUCCCCCACACUGGUACUGAGACACGGACCAGACUCCUACGGGAGGCAGCAGUGAGGAAUAUUGGUCAAUGGUCGUAAGACUGAACCAGCCAAAUCGCGUGAAGGACGAAGGUAUUAUGUAUUGUAAACUUCUUUUGAGGGGGAAUAAAGUGCAGGACGUGUCCUGUUUUGUAUGUACCUUUCGAAUAAGCAUCGGCUAACUCCGUGCCAGCAGCCGCGGUAAUACGGAGGAUGCGAGCGUUAUCCGGAUUUAUUGGGUUUAAAGGGUGCGUA